AUUGAACGCUGGCGGCAGGCCUAACACAUGCAAGUCGAGCGGAUGAGUGGAGCUUGCUCCAUGAUUCAGCGGCGGACGGGUGAGUAAUGCCUAGGAAUCUGCCUGGUAGUGGGGGACAACGUUUCGAAAGGAACGCUAAUACCGCAUACGUCCUACGGGAGAAAGCAGGGGACCUUCGGGCCUUGCGCUAUCAGAUGAGCCUAGGUCGGAUUAGCUAGUUGGUGGGGUAAAGGCCUACCAAGGCGACGAUCCGUAACUGGUCUGAGAGGAUGGUCAGUCACACUGGAACUGAGACACGGUCCAGACUCCUACGGGAGGCAGCAGUGGGGAAUAUUGGACAAUGGGCGAAAGCCUGAUCCAGCCAUGCCGCGUGUGUGAAGAAGGUCUUCGGAUUGUAAAGCACUUUAAGUUGGGAGGAAGGGCAGUAAGUUAAUACCUUGCUGUUUUGACGUUACCAACAGAAUAAGCACCGGCUAACUUCGUGCCAGCCGCCGCGGUAA
rnacentral:rRNA from 1 species